UGAGGAAUAUUGGUCAAUGGGGGCAACCCUGAACCAGCCAAGUCGCGUGAAGGAUGAAGGUCUUAUGGAUUGUAAACUUCUUUUAUACAGGAAUAAAUUGGGGGACGUGUCCCCUUUUGCAUGUACUGUAUGAAUAAGGAUCGGCUAACUCCGUGCCAGCAGCCGCGGUAAUACGGAGGAUCCGAGCGUUAUCCGGAUUUAUUGGGUUUAAAGGGUGCGCAGGCGGGAUGUUAAGUCGGCGGUGAAAUUUUGCAGCUCAACUGUAAAAGUGCCUUCGAUACUGGCCUUCUUGAGUGUGGAUGAAGUAGGCGGAAUUUGUGGUGUAGCGGUGAAAUGCUUAGAUAUCACGAGGACCUCCGAUUGCGCAGGCAGCUUACUAAGCCACAACUGACGCUCAUGCACGAAGGCGUGGGGAUCAAACA
rnacentral:rRNA from 1 species